UAUCCAUUUAGUUUUGUGAGCACGUCAGUUGUCCGGACUGAAAGCAAAGAGCAGAAUGACAGAUACGCCCGUAACCGCAAAUGACAUCUUUCGGACAGUCGACUUGCCGUAUCUCCGAGUUCUGCGAGAGAUAUUUUUAUUCUUAAUACAAAAAGAAGAUAGUAAACAGAGAUAAAGCAACAUCAACUCUCAACUUCACACGUUGAUUGUAAUUAGCGGCGAUUGUUCCGAGUUCAUUUACAACAUUUAUCGAUGCUAUCAUGAACAAUCUUAUGACUCUAAUUGGAAGAGCGAUUAUCGAUUCAAAGAGCGGUCCAAGGACGACGGAUGGUGAUGCAAAACUACUUUCACUGAUCCGGUGGUUACGCGCAUUUACAAAAAAAAGAUGCAUAAAUAAAACUUUCACGUGUGCUUCGCAUUACGUGAUUUCACUUUUGGAAGGCUGCUGUCGGAGUUAUGGCAGGAAUGUGGUUUACAAAGAGAUCUGUAAGGAAUGUAGAGGAUGCAACGGUUUAUCCCUGUGUGAUGAAUGAACAACGCUAUCUUAUCUUGAACGACACUGUGGAGAUUUUGAAGAAGUUUCUCUCUUCCAAAGCGACAUUAUACAAGUUGUUAACCAGAAACGAUAAAAUAUCUACGCGUUGCGGUAUUGCAAACAUCAAAUAUUGGGAAAUACCACAGGAAUUUAAAUACAAUAUCAUGAAAAAUAUAGUAGUGAAUAAUUUCACAGUAAAGGUAAAAGAAAAAACGUCACGAAUAUAAAAUUUCAGGAAAAUUAAAUUUUUAGACAACUUUAAAUACAGUUUUGAUAAAAACUGGCAUGUCUGUUUUUUGUUCCUAUUAUCUCCGUUAUCCUUCACAAAAGACAGCAAUACAGUCAAAUUAUCUGAUACGAAUAGCACAUGCAGCAUGUCAGCGUACACGGGCAAACUGCUGAAGGAAAGGCAUGUAUGCAACGCAUUUCCUGGUUGACACACGUAAGUGCACGCGUAUGCAAAUCGCUCGAUACUCCAAGUGUCCUAACAACUGCGUUCAAGCGAUACAGAUAUGCAUACGCAUUCGAGUAUGUUGGAUGCACACGCCGCAAACCAGCGGAGCUUUACUCACACGUUUCAAUUGUAUGAUACGCAAUUGCCCACGAGGCAAAUGUUCGUCAUGUGUUGAAUUUUCAUUGUUCUAACGGUUGACCGAUCAUUUGUACGCGUCAGAAUUUCAACGAACGUAUGUUGAUCUUCGACAAUAUCAACCAUACAUUUCUUCAAUUGCAAUAUCGAGAAAAUACAAGAUAUAAAUUCUGUUUCCCUCUUGAAACAUUUUUUUGCUUGACUAUUUCUAAGAAUAGCUAAAUUUUUACAAUGAAAAAAUUGAGAGAGAGAAAGAGAGAGAAAGACUAAACCAUUCGUAAUACUUCACCUACAUCUCGCGUUUGUUCUCUAUUUCAUGGUUGGCUGAAAUUGCGCUGAAUCAUCACAUUUCUCCACUUGUAAAAAUAGUAAACGAUGCCGGGAAAUGAGAAUGAGUUAAGUAUUUAGCAACACUUGUAACGUUGAUAAAACGUGAAAGCAUUAUAUCAGCGAUAUAUUAUAAUAGUAUAAUAAUAAUAUAGUAUAAUAAUAAUGUAGCGAACGCUAUAAUAAAGAAUAAAAUGCAAUAUGCAGGGUGGGACAUUUAAAGCGUUACAAAUAAUUACUUCUGAAACUGUGUAUUUUAACAAAAAAUUCCAGACAAAAAUUGUAUAGUUUGAAAGAGAACAAAUAAUGGUAAAAUUAAUUUAAAAAAAAAACACUAUUUCAAAAUUAUACGAAAGUCAUCGCUUUUUUUUUUUAAAUUAUAUGACUUUUUUACAAAAUUUUUUUCAGUUCUUUAAUUAUUUUGCACAUAAAAAUAUUAAGAUAGAGUUAUCAAAAAAUCAAGAGGAUGUUUCUGAUUUUUUUCUGGAAUAUAGGUACUUCAACAUAAAAUAUUUCGUUGAACUAUGAAUUCUUUACAAUUAUGACAAUUACAAUGCGACGCGUGGCGUGGGCGUCCUUGCUUACGUCCGAAGUCACGAACAGCCGUCAAAAUACACAUAGAAUAUUAGCCUUACAAAAAAAUUAUACACCGAAUAUUAUUGCACUUCAAAUUAUUACCAAACGUUUGAUGGCUCUUCGUAAUAUUUGAUCUAACAAGUCGUGCGUUGUUCCGCGCAUUCGAUAAAGAAUGAUAAGUAAAUUAUAUUUAACUUGUCAAAAUAUUGAAGGCACAUUGUAGGAUAUAUUAUUUGAAAUAAUAAUUUUCUGUGAGUAUUUU